AAAUGAAUCACUUGGGGAUCUUGUUAAAAUGCAGACUCUAAUUCACUAAGUUUGGGGCCAGCUUUGAGAUCCUGCAUUUCUAAUAAGCUCCCAGAUGAUGCUGAA
rnacentral:pre_miRNA from 1 species